rnacentral:tRNA from 1 species
GCUGAUAUGGCUCAGUUGGUAGAGCGCACCCUUGGUAAGGGUGAGGUCCCCAGUUUCGACUCUGGGUAUCAGCACCA